CACGUAGGGUGCGAGCGUUGUCCGGAAUUAUUGGGCGUAAAGAGCUCGUAGGCGGUGUGUCGCGUCGGCCGUGAAAACCUGCAGCUUAACUGUGGGCGUGCGGUCGAUACGGGCAUCACUGGAGUUCGGCAGGGGAGACUGGAAUUCCUGGUGUAGCGGUGAAAUGCGCAGAUAUCAGGAGGAACACCGGUGGCGAAGGCGGGUCUCUGGGCCGAUACUGACGCUGAGGAGCGAAAGCGUGGGGAGCGAACAGGA
rnacentral:rRNA from 1 species